CCCGCUGAACUUAAGCAUAUCAAUAAGCGGAGGAAAAGAAACUAACAAGGAUUCCCCUAGUAACUGCGAGUGAAGAGGGAAGAGCUCAAAUUUGAAAUCUGGCGGUUCUUGCAGCCGUCCGAGUUGUAGUUUAGAGAAGUGCUAUCCGCGCUGGCCUGUGCAUAAGUUUCUUGGAAAAGAAUAUCAUAGAGGGUGACAAUCCCGUCUUUGGCACAGAUCACCAGGGCUUUUGUGAUGCGCUCUCGACGAGUCGAGUUGUUUGGGAAUGCAGCUCUAAAUGGGUGGUAAAUUCCAUCUAAAGCUAAAUAUUGGCGAGAGACCGAUAGCGAACAAGUACCGUGAGGGAAAGAUGAAAAGAACUUUGAAAAGAGAGUUAAACAGUACGUGAAAUUGUUGAAAGGGAAACGCUUGAAGUCAGUCGCGUCUUCCAGGGAUCAAGUCGACUUUUUGUUGGCCGUACUUUCUGGUUGAUGGGUCAGCAUCAAUUUUGACCGCUGGAUAAAGGCCUUGGGAACGUAGCAUCUUCGGAUGUGUUAUAGACCAGGGUUCGGAUACAGUGAUUGGGAUUGAGGAACUCAGUGUGCCCUUGUGGUUGGGGCAACUUGCCUACAUAGUGCACUUAGGAUGCUGGCAUAAUGGCUUUAAUCGACCCGUCUUGAAACACGG
rnacentral:rRNA from 1 species